rnacentral:rRNA from 1 species
UACGAGAGGCCCAAACGUUGUUCGGAAUCACUGGGCUUAAAGGGCGCGUAGGCGGGCCGCCGCGUCCGGGGUGAAAUCCCCCCGCUCAACGGGGGGACGGCCUCGGAUACGGGCGGCCUGGAGGCGGGUAGGGGCACGCGGAACUGUGGGUGGAGCGGUGAAAUGCGUAGAGAUCCGGAGGAACACCAGAGGCGAAGGCGGCCUGCUGGGCUGCACCUGACGCUGAGCCGCGAAAGCCAGGGGAGCGAACGGG